rnacentral:rRNA from 1 species
UACGUAGGGCGCAAGCGUUGUCCGGUAUUAUUGGGCGUAAAGAGCUCGUAGGCGGCUUGUCACGUCGGGUGUGAAAGCCCGGGGCUUAACCCCGGGUCUGCAUUCGAUACGGGCUAGCUAGAGUGUGGUAGGGGAGAUCGGAAUUCCUGGUGUAGCGGUGAAAUGCGCAGAUAUCAGGAGGAACACCGGUGGCGAAGGCGGAUCUCUGGGCCAUUACUGACGCUGAGGAGCGAAAGCCAGGGGAGCGAACGGG